ACCUGGGGAUUUUAAAACCUUUCUUUAUUUGGGAAACAGCACGGUGAAAACUCGUCAUCCCAGUGAAGAAGAGGAAGAACGGGCUGCAGCAAUGGACACAGGGUUUAUAUCUAUUACUUUUGAAACCAAAGACACCAAAGGCUCAAUGAUGCAAGAAAAAAAUGCAAUGAAUGGUACGACACAGUCCUGUCCUCUAGGAAUCCACCAAAUAUCUGGGGAGAUGGCUAACCAGACAAACAUUCCAUUCCAAGUCAUAAUAGCAUAGAUGUUCUUGAUGGCAGAGAAGAUUUCAAAAGAUAAAGCAAACCUUUCUGCAAAGAGUUACUAGAAAAGGCUUCUUUGAAGACAUGAAAUCUGAAUGAUGGGUACAAUUCUGAUAGACAGAGAUGCAAGAUAGAGUCCUCCAAGCAGAGACAAUAGUAAGACCAAUGGCCAGGUGAUUUUUAAUUGAAUGGAAAAGUAAAUAUUGUACUUUUGUAGUAGUAUAAUAGUAUGGGAAAUACAGCUGAAAAGUGGAGCUAUGAUGUGUAAAGUGUUCCUGAGCAGGUCAGUCAAACUAUCAAAGGCAGUGUAAAAGCCAAGAUGCUCGAAAUAGAGACCAACAUGAUUCCUACAAACAUGUGAUCCUAU
rnacentral:lncRNA from 1 species